UGGUUCUGGCAUCGAUGAAGAACGCAGCGAAAUGCGAUAAGUAAUGUGAAUUGCAGAAUUCAGUGAAUCAUCGAAUCUUUGAACGCACAUUGCGCCCCUUGGUAUUCCGAGGGGCAUGCCUGUUCGAGCGUCAUAUAAACAUAUCCCUUGUGGGGUCUUGGGAUCCGCCUUAUAGCGAUCCUUAAAAUCAGUGGCGGUGCCAUCUGGCUCUAAGCGUAGUAAUUACCCUCGCUAUAGUGUCCUGGUGGUUGCUUGCCAACAAUCUAUAAUUUCAACGUUUGACCUCGGAUCAGGUAGGGAUACCCGCUGA
rnacentral:misc_RNA from 1 species